rnacentral:rRNA from 1 species
UUCCAUGAAGCUGGAAUUGCUAGUAAUGGCAGGUCAGCAUACUGCCGUGAAUACGUUCCCGGGCCUUGUACACACCGCCCGUCACACCAUGAGAGUUGGGAAUACCCGAAGCCUGUGAGCUAACUUAUAGAGGCAGCAGUCGAAGGUAGAAUCAAUGAUUGGGGUGAAGUCGUAACAAGGUACC